rnacentral:rRNA from 1 species
UACAGAGGUCUCAAGCGUUGUUCGGAUUCAUUGGGCGUAAAGGGUGCGUAGGCGGCGCGGUAAGUCGGGUGUGAAAUCUCGGAGCUUAACUCCGAAACUGCAUUCGAUACUGCCGUGCUUGAGGACUGGAGAGGAGACUGGAAUUUACGGUGUAGCGGUGAAAUGCGUAGAUAUCGUAAGGAAGACCAGUGGCGAAGGCGGGUCUCUGGACAGUUCCUGACGCUGAGGCACAAAGGCCAGGGGAGCAAACGGG